UACGUAGGCAGCAAGCGUUGUUCGGAGUUACUGGGCGUAAAGGGUGUGUAGGCGGUUCUUUAAGUUUGGUGUGAAAUCUCCCGGCUCAACCGGGAGGGUGCGCCGAAUACUGAGGGACUCGAGUGCGGGAGAGGAAAGUGGAAUUCCUGGUGUAGCGGUGAAAUGCGUAGAUAUCAGGAGGAGCACCGGUGGUGUAGACGGCUUCCUGGACCGUAACUGACGCUGAGACACGAAAGCGUGGGUAGCAAACAGG
rnacentral:rRNA from 1 species